rnacentral:rRNA from 1 species
UACGUAGGGGGCGAGCGUUGUCCGGAUUUAUUGGGCGUAAAGAGCGUGUAGGCGGCCAGGUAGGUCUGCUGUGAAAACUCGAGGCUCAACCUCGAGACGUCGGCGGAAACCAUCUGGCUAGAGUCCGGAAGAGGAGAGUGGAAUUCCUGGUGUAGCGGUGAAAUGCGCAGAUAUCAGGAAGAACACCGGUGGCGAAAGGGCGGCUUUGCUGGGCCAGUUUCUGACGCUGAGGAGCGAAAGCGUGGGAGCGAACAGG